AUUCCUCCUCCUCUCCUCUUUCUGAAGGGAGGCACAACCAGCUGUUGAUCCAACGUCUGCAAUAGUACUGCUUUUAUGAUUCUAAAAACCUGCAGGAGCUUGUUCUCAGUUAACCUUUCUUCCAUAGGCAUAGCAGAGCAUUGAGUUACUUUGAUAGCAAUUCCACAGUUUAGCAAAGAUGAGGAAAAGCCUGGAAAUGGCCCUUUUAAACAGUAAUUCCCAUGUCUGCUUCAGCAGUGCUGCUGGUUGAAUUCAGAUUCUGUAAGUUGCUCUAAUACUGCUUGUUUGUAAACAGGUCAGAGGGUGGUUGUGCUCCACUGCAGGAAGUGCUAUCAGCUGUGAGGAUGCUUCAUGCUGAGCCCACUGUCCCUUGGAUCCUAGCAGCUGACUUCUCCUUUCACCUGGGCUGGUCUGUCUGGGACCCUGCUUGUUGAUUCCUGCUUCUGUUUGAGGAGCUCUGGCCUCUUGCUUGUUGUAACUUCAGGAUCCCAGCUGUAGCCAAAGCUUAGGACUUUGCAUGACAAGCAGGCCAUGAUGACUCAAGGAGGGCCUAAAAUCUGGAAACUCCAGUUGUCUGUCUGCCCUGCAAGGCAAUUCUUUAGGCAAUUUUUAGGUUUCCCCAGUGGACACCAGAGGAGCAGGUGGACAGCUUUGCUCCCUGGAGGUGUUUAUGACAAGGUGUCACUUCCUCCCAUUGCCUGAAGCUGAACAGUUCAAGCCUUGCUCCUGACUUCUUACAGCACAGACAUCAUGUGCCUCUGCUUCUGUGUCUGCUUCACUUUGCUUUCUUCCAGUCAAGCCAUGUGAAGACAAAGGAGAAGAAAUCCUAAGGGCAGGUGCCCUGGUACAAUGAAGAGUGCUGCUACCUAAAUAUCUUUCCUGCCUGAGCAUGCAAAUGCUGUCAAGAGGCCAAGGCUAAGAUGGGCGAAGUAAGAAAAGGAGAUCCAAAAGGCCAGGUGGACUGAAAAUAAUUGGUAAUACCUGAUGUGGUUUGGAAUGGUGCUCUGCAGAUGAGAAAACCAGCGCUGUUUUCCAAGUAGCUCUAUCCACCAGCUGUCACCUGAGCAGAAAGGACACAACAGGAUGACAUUUUGUCUCUGUGAGUUACUGCAGGGGCUCAGAGAGCAGCUAGCAGCCCUAUAUGCAGGGGUGGAGGGUGUCCUGUGCUUGCAGGGCCAUAUCCAUGAGCAUGGAUAUGGCCUUUUGAUUCAGCAAAGAUCCCAAAGUGUUGUUUAGGAUGUGGCGCAGCUGAGGGGUUUGCCAAGGUCCCAGUGAGGUAUCAAUCCAUCCCAGGGAUGGCAGAGAAUAAUUCACAGACUCACAGAAUCAUAGGGCCUGGAAGGGACCUCUGGAGCUGCCACCCACCAGCACCCCUAAGUUCUUUUUGGUGGGGCUGUGCUCAGUCUUUUUGUCCCCAGCUUGUACUGAUAGUGGAGUACCCAGUUGCAAGACUUUGCACUUGGCUUUGUUGUGGGCCAGAGCUGCUGGGCAAUGGUGUCUUUAUGCUCAGUGUCCUCUUCUGACCUGGUCCUGCUAUGCCUUGAUGACGGGCUGGGGAUCCUCUUUCUCACCCUAUUACCUCCAUGCGAUGCUGAGUACCACACAGAGCAAGCAGCAGAGGAGUAGCUUAUUGGGUGCUUUGAAUUUUUUUCAAGAUGAAUGCAAGACUUUGCUUACAAUCAGCCCAUCCUAAUCAGAGAAGAUGGAACCAAAGUUUUGGUGGCCCUUUUCAAGCCCAUCUGUUUCCUGCUAGCACCAACAACACCUCUUUGCACUGCAGUGACUGGCUGGGAAUGCUUUUAUGAGAUGCUGCACAUGACAUCUACCAGUGAGUUCGGUGGGAGUGGAAAUGAUGCAGAGGAAUAUAUCUUGAGCAGCCUUCUCUCUGCCAGGAGGCAGCACAGCAUGAAUCACAGACUCAUAGAAUGGCUUGGGUUGGAAGGGACCUCAAGGAUCAUCAGGUUCCAACCCUCCUGCAUGUGAAUGCCUCAGCUGAGCUGUUGUGCUGUGGAAAGAGCUCUCCUUUGUAUGCAGCACUGCAGCUGAUGGACCUUGGCCAGCUGGCUGGUGCCCACCAAGCUACUCCUUCAAUCCUCCUCCUCAGCAGGAGAGAAUACACACGUGGAGAUAAGGACAGUGAGUUCAUUCACAAAUAACUGUCAUGAGGUAAAUGGACUCAGCUUGGGGAAGACACUUUCUCUCUUCUGAUUGGUUUCUGUCUUGGAUUUGUGCCCCUUCCUCAAGGUUGUCAGUUCUUAUUUAUUAAAGUAUUGAAGUC
ensembl:lncRNA